UAGGGAAUCUUCCACAAUGGACGGAAGUCUGAUGGAGCAACGCCGCGUGAGCGAAGAAGGUUUUCGGAUCGUAAAGCUCUGUUGUGAGGGAAGAACAAGUGCAGGAGUAACUGCCUGUACCUUGACGGUACCUCAUUAGAAAGCCACGGCUAACUACGUGCCAGCAGCCGCGGUAAUACGUAGGUGGCAAGCGUUGUCCGGAAUUAUUGGGCGUAAAGCGCGCGCAGGCGGCCUUUUAAGUCUGAUGUGAAAGCCCACGGCUCAACCGUGGAAGGUCAUUGGAAACUGGAAGGCUUGAGUACAGAAGAGGAAAGCGGAAUUCCACGUGUAGCGGUGAAAUGCGUAGAGAUGUGGAGGAACACCAGUGGCGAAGGCGGCUUUCUGGUCUGUAACUGACGCUGAGGCGCGAAAGCGUGGGGAGCAAACAGGAUUAGAUACCCGGGUAGUCCACGCUGUAAACGUUGGGCACUAGGUGUGGGAGGUAUUGA
rnacentral:rRNA from 1 species